rnacentral:rRNA from 1 species
GUCGAGCGAAGACUAGAUUUGUAGUAGAAGCGAUUGAUUUUCACUUUGUGGAGAUUAUGAAUUUUUGCUAUUCCUGGUCUUAGCGGCGAACGGGUGAGUAACGCGUGAAUAAUCUGCCCUUGAAAUGGGGAUACCAUUCCGAAAGGAAUGCUAAUACCGAAUAACGUUAUGAAACAUAGGUUUCAUAACCAAAGUUGAAUCUUUGGAUUCUUCGUUCAAGGAUGAGUUCGCGUCCUAUUAGCUAGUUGGUGAGGUAAAGGCUCACCAAGGCUGUGAUGGGUAGCCGGCCUGAGAGGGCGUACGGCCACAUUGGGACUGAGACACGGCCCAGACUCCUACGGGAGGCAGCAGUAGGGAAUCUUCCGCAAUGGGCGAAAGCCUGACGGAGCGAUGCCACGUGGAUGACGGAGGCCUUCGGGUCGUAAAAUCCUGUCAGGGGGGACGAUGGUCAAUUUACGGAUUGAUUGACGGUACCUCCAGAGGAAGCUCCGGCCAACUACGUGCCAGCAGCCGCGGUAAUACGUAGGGAGCAAGCGUUGUUCGGAUUUACUGGGCGUAAGAGUGCGUAGGUGGCUAUACAAGUCAAGGGUGAAAUCUCUACUUUCAAGGUAGAAACUGCCUUUGAUACUGUAUGGCUAGAGGACAAGAGGGGGAAAUGGAACUCUGGGAGUAGCGGUGAAAUGCGUAGAUAUCCAGAGGAACGCCAGUAGCGAAGGCGGUUUCCUGGCUUGUUUCUGACACUGAGGCACCAAAGCUAGGGGAGCGAUCGGGAUUAGAGACCCCGGUAGUCCUAGCCCUAAACGAUGGGUACUA